CGUGCCAGCAGCCGCGGUAAUACAUAGGUCACAAGCGUUAUCCGGAAUUAUUGGGCGUAAAGCGUUCGUAGGCGGUUUGUUAAGUCUGGAGUUAAAGACUGGGGCUCAACCCCAGCCCGCUCUGGAUACUGGCUGACUAGAGUUACAUAGAGGUAAGUGGAAUUCUUAGUGGAGCGGUGGAAUGCGUAGAUAUUAGGAAGAACACCAAUGGCGAAGGCAGCUUACUGGAUGUACACUGACGCUCAGGGACGAAAGCGUGGGGAGCAAACAGGAUUAGAUACCCUGGUAGUCCACGCCGUAAACGAUGAUCAUUAGCCGCUAGAAUAUUUAGUGGCGCAGCUAACGCAUUAAAUGAUCCGCCUGAGUAGUAUGCUCGCAAGAGUGAAACUUAAAGGAAUUGACGGGGACCCGCACAAGCGGUGGAGCAUGUGGUUUAAUUUGAAGAUACGCGUAGAACCUUACCCACUCUUGACAUCUUUCGCAAUACUAUGGAGACAUAGUGGAGGUUAACGGAAUGACAGAUGGUGCAUGGUUGUCGUCAGCUCGUGCCGUGAGGUGUUAGGUUAAGUCCUGCAACGAGCGCAACCCCUGUCUUUAGUUACUAACGGAUAAUGCCGAGGACUCUAGAGAGACUGACUGGGUAACCAGUAGGAAGGUGGGGACGACGUCAAAUCAUCAUGCCUCUUACGAGUGGGGCAAC
rnacentral:rRNA from 1 species